rnacentral:rRNA from 1 species
AGGACGAACGCUGGCGGCGUGCUUAACACAUGCAAGUCGAGCGGAAAGGCCCUUCGGGGUACUCGAGCGGCGAACGGGUGGAGUAACACGUGAGUAACCUGCCCUAGGCUUUGGGAUAACCCUCGGAAACGGGGGCGUAAUACCGGAUAUUCACUGCUGAUCGCAUGGUUGGUGGUGGAAAGUUUUUCGGUCUGGGAUGGGCUCGCGGCCUAUCAGCUUGUUGGUGGGGUGAUGGCCUACCAAGGCGACGACGGGUA